rnacentral:rRNA from 1 species
GACGAACGCUGGCGGCGUGCUUAACACAUGCAAGUCGAACGGAAAGGCCCUGCUUGCAGGGUACUCGAGUGGCGAACGGGUGAGUAACACGUGGGUGAUCUGCCCUGCACUUCGGGAUAAGCCUGGGAAACUGGGUCUAAUACCGGAUAGGAGCCAUUUUUAGUGUGAUGGUUGGAAAGUUUUUUCGGUGUAGGAUGAGCUCGCGGCCUAUCAGCUUGUUGGUGGGGUAAUGGCCUACCAAGGCGGCGACGGGUAGCCGGCCUGAGAGGGUGGACGGCCACAUUGGGACUGAGAUACGGCCCAGACUCCUACGGGAGGCAGCAGUGGGGAAUAUUGCACAAUGGGCGCAAGCCUGAUGCAGCGACGCCGCGUGGGGGAUGACGGCCUUCGGGUUGUAAACUCCUUUCGCUAGGGACGAAUCUUUUUGUGACGGUACCUAGAUAAGAAGCACCGGCUAACUACGU